GACGAACGCUGGCGGCGUGCUUAACACAUGCAAGUCGAACGAAGAGCGAUGGAAGCUUGCUUCUAUCAAUCUUAGUGGCGAACGGGUGAGUAACGCGUAAUCAACCUGCCCUUCAGAGGGGGACAACAGUUGGAAACGACUGCUAAUACCGCAUACGAUCUAAUCUCGGCAUCGAGGAUAGAUGAAAGGUGGCCUCUAUGUAUAAGCUAUCACUGAAGGAGGGGAUUGCGUCUGAUUAGCUAGUUGGAGGGGUAACGGCCCACCAAGGCGAUGAUCAGUAGCCGGUCUGAGAGGAUGAACAGCCACAUUGGGACUGAGACACGGCCCAGACUCCUACGGGAGGCAGCAGUGGGGAAUCUUCCGCAAUGGACGAAAGUCUGACGGAGCAACGCCGCGUGAGUGAUGACGGCCUUCGGGUUGUAAAGCUCUGUUAAUCGGGACGAAAGGCCUUCUUGCGAAUAGUGAGAAGGAUUGACGGUACCGGAAUAGAAAGCCACGGCUAACUACGUG
rnacentral:rRNA from 1 species